AAAUUCACACUUCUGCUAAUGUUCAAGAAGCACAAACAUAACUGAACAUGAUGAAAAUAAUUUGGUUCUGGGAAGUAUUUAUUUUAAAAAAUGGAGCCAGUUCUAAAUUAGAAGCAGUUCUUGAUUCAUAACCCACAUCAUAACAUGCUUUUGAUACAGUAUUAUAACUUCCAUUUCUGGUACACUGUUUAAUUCUAAGGGAUUUUAUUUUCCAUGUUUUGUUUUUAACUAGAUCACAGUUCAAGUUACAGAUGUUUUGGGGUUAUUUAAGCAAUGGUAUUUCAUGCCAUUACAGUUAUUUGAAAUGUAAUUUGUUCCUCGGGACUAAUUAUACCUAAAAUGGAAGCAAAAUGGCUGAAAAUCCCAGGCUUUUCACUACAUGCAAAACCUAAACUGAAGAAAUUAAGUUAUUUUGUGAAUUCUCCAGUAGCAUGCCAAUAUUUUAAGAGUAUAACACACUAUGGGUAACAGAUUGUGUAAUAGUUUUUGCAGUUGGUUAUUUUUAUAGUAAGAAGACUGACUUCUUUCUUUGUUUAUUUUUAUCUCUGGUAAAGCAUUUUGUGUGGAUUUAGUCUUAAAAAUAUAUCUGCACAAAUGUCCAAUAUUUGUAUCAUUUUCAUAUUUGUUAAACCAUACAUGCUGUAGAAAAGCCAUGUGUAUUUAGUAUUACUGUACAGAAGUAUUAUAUACUCGUUGUGUAUAGAUGCAGUUUAUUUCAUCGGUCUUAAAAUAUAACCCACUUUCUCUUCUGGGUCUCAAUAGUGAAUGAUGUUGGAGAUAGUGAAGGACUGCCGUCUCUGGAAAAGCCUGGUUGGUAUUCUCAGGGCAACUGGCCUCAUCUACACAAACUACUGAAGACCAUGACCCAACAAAUCAGAGCCCAAGGUGGUGUAUUUCGGAGACAGCAUGCACUCGGACAUGUUCCCAGCCUCCAGCUUUGGAAAGUGGGAGACUGUGAUGAUUGUGGAGGAGAUGGAGGGGGAGGGCGUUCCACGUGCUAACGCGACCCCCAGUAACAGCCCCACCUCCCGAGUGAAGGGCCGGUGGAGAAAAAGGGCAAAUUUGAGGAUCAAGGAAUGAAAUCUCCUUCAGCUCUAUCAAACCAGUGGGGCUCAUAUUUUGUUGACGUGCAAAAGAAUGAAGGAGAGGAGACACGGAGACUCACCUGGUGUUGCCAGAGUAUCCACACAUACAGCACCAUGGCUAUACCCAGCAUAUAGCAGAUCGAUUACACUGCUGGUAACUGUUUCUUCAGUGACGUGUUCAGUGCAUACAGCGGGAGCCAAAGGUCUGAUGCUGAUCUUUCUCUAGACUUUAAGUUCCAGAGAUUCUCUCCAGAUAAGCCCAUCACGACAGGUUAUUACCCCAGACCUCCAGACUCACUGCUGAAAUGGGAAGAGAACUAGUCCUGAACCCUCAGGCCUGUCAGCACAGAUCAGGAGAUUUUUUCACCGUUACGUUCUGGAGCUUCCCCCCAGAGCAGUCAGUGAUAAAGCUGUGUGAAUGUAACACCCAGAGCACCCAGUGUCUGUGUGUUUUCUUCUCACCCCUUCCUGAAUCACAUACACAGUAUGACGUUGUGUGUGUACACGUGCUGAAAUAUCCGUACAUUGAUCAUUGGAUGUAGGAGGAAGUCGCAGUGUAUUGUGUCUCACCAGCGUUGUGCACUCACUACCAUUAAACUACUUUUAAUGGUGUACAGAGAAAAAAAACAUAGCUUUCAUUUGAGCUGUGUGUUGUUGUUUUUUUGUUGUUUUUUUAUUCUUGUCUGUUUUUAUAUCGGGAAUGUUAUAUGUUAUAGGGUUUGUUUUUGCAGCUGUUGUAAAUGCUUUCUGAGGAAAGCAGGCACAAAUUAUAUUGAAUAUGCAUGCAAUUUAAGAAACAGCCAUGAGUUCUUGGCUCCUUUUGGGAUUGUUUGAUGUUUUGAGAGUGUUGUAAACUGCAAGCUUUCAGAUCUGGACUGGUUAAUUAUAGAAUAAUGUCGUUUGAUUUUAAGUACUUUGGUUUACUGUAGUUUACUGUAUACUGCGGACAUUUCUGUGACAAAUGGGAAAAUGGACAUCAUACUUCCAAGUGCCAGUGUUAUGAGGAAUAGUUUACCCCAAAAAAAAAAAAGUCAUGAUUUAUUCACCAUCAUGUUGUUCCAAACCAUUGAGCUGUUGAUGGAACAUAAAGGCAUCGCUGAGGAAUCUUCACACAGCUCUUUCCAUACAACAACAGUUCAUGGUGACCACAUAUGUCAAGCUCAAAAAAGUACAGAAAUAAAAGCAAAUGAAACUA